UGGACUGAAAAAUAUGUAUACUGCAGCAUUAUAUCUUAUUUUUGUAAAUAUUCUCCAAUUAUUUGUGAAUGUCAGCUGUCUUGAAAUUACUCCGGAUCCUAGAGAUAUGUUUCCAGAGAGCGGAAAGGGCGAGGGCAAUUUACGUUACUUACGUGUGAAAGAGUAUUCAAAUCUAGCCAACAGAACAUUUCUCUAUGAUUUAAUGCCAGUCUUUAGUUCUCAAUCUUUAUCAGAAUGUUCGAUCUCUUGCUUAAGGUACUUUUGUUUAGCAUUUUUCUUCAACACAGAUAAACUGGAAUGCACUUUGAAUUAUUAUCGUUUUUACCUUCCAACGCACACUGUUGAAGACAUUGGUUCAAAAUACUACUUGACCUUUCGAGAGGAGUGUCCAUCCGACCAAGGCUACUUGUAUUACCCAACAGAAAACUUUUGUGUAAAGUUACAUACAACUAAGAUAUCAUACUUCGAUGUGCAGUAUAACUGCCUUUUAGAGAGAGCAGCAACAGUAAGAGUUGACAGCCUCAAAAAGCUCAACAUUCUACAAAUGUAUCUAGCUACUCAAGGAUAUAACGAUGACAACGAUUUCGCAUACAUCAUGGGCGAUCUUAUGCAGGGUAACACGUAUGUUUUUAUAGAUGGCACGGAAAUGCUUUAUUUUGAUUGGAUGUCUGGACAACCAACUGGUGUAAGUGGUGCACGAAUAGUUAUGGGAGGAAGCAAUCAGAAGUUUAAGGAUGUAAAUGAAUAUGAACUGCACGGGUUUAUUUGCGAGAAACAUAUUCUCAAGCCAUAAUUUACGGUUAACAUUCCAAGUUACGUCGAUUUUUUUUUAACCAGCUUGAAGAUGACAAACACGUUGAGAAUAAUGUUUAUUAAUAAAAACUAGAAACUGUGUUUGAUAUCUUGAUGAAAACUUGGAGAAGGUCACUUUGAGAACAUCGAAUGACUUUUGCUUGCACAAGAUUCCAAACAGACAAUCUACUUAUUAUAUGAUUAAUAUGAUUACCACAUUUUGAUAUUCCUUCCCUUUAAUUUACAUUUGCACUGAUACCGACUACAGAGAUUAACUACGAAGUCCCUAUCUACUCAAACAAAUAUUCUAUUCUAUAGUUAUAUGGAUUGAUUUUAUAUAUAGCAAGAAAACUAUAGCCUACAUAUUCAUCAUUUUCCAGAUAUGGAAUUAACCUUUUACUGUGAGUGCGACAAUCAAAGACAGAAAAGACGAGUUGAUAAAGUUAUAUAUGGCCCGUUCAAAAGUCUAUAAAGUCAACUUCUCCUACUUUUGUUAAAUGAAAGUAAGGUAUUCUCUGCUUGAA